AACGAACGCUGGCGGCAGGCCUAACACAUGCAAGUCGAACGCCGUAGCAAUACGGAGUGGCAGACGGGUGAGUAACGCGUGGGAACAUACCCCUCGGUUCGGAAUAACUCAGAGAAACUUGAGCUAAUACCGGAUACGUCCGAUGUUUUAAUCGACCUUGGAGAAAGAUUUAUCGCCGGAGGAUUGGCCCGCGUCUGAUUAGCUUGUUGGUGAGGUAAUGGCUCACCAAGGCGACGAUCAGUAGCUGGUCUGAGAGGAUGAUCAGCCACAUUGGGACUGAGACACGGCCCAAACUCCUACGGGAGGCAGCAGUGGGGAAUAUUGGACAAUGGGCGAAAGCCUGAUCCAGCCAUGCCGCGUGAGUGAUGAAGGCCUAGGGUUGUAAAGCUCUUUACCCGGGAAGAUAAUGACGGUACCGGGAGAAUAAGCCCCGGCUAACUUCGUGCCAGCCGCCGCGGUAAC
rnacentral:rRNA from 1 species